UACGUAGGAUGCAAGCGUUGUCCGGAUUUAUUGGAUUUAAAGGGUGCGUAGGCGGCCUAUUAAGUUAGUGGUGAAAACGUUCGGCAUAACCGGAUACCCGCCAUUGAUACUGAUAGACUUGAGUGCGACAGAGGGUGUUGGAAUGUGUGGUGUAGCGGUGAAAUGCUUAGAUAUCACGCAGAACACCAAUUGCGAAGGCAGAUGCCUAUGUCGUAACUGACGAUGAGGCACGGAAGCGUGGGGAGCAAACAGG
rnacentral:rRNA from 1 species